AGUUCUCCAGGUGAAGGAGGAGCAAUACAGCACUCUUGGGAACUGAAGAAUAGCUCAGUGAAGCUCAAAAUCUUGUUCCUUCCACUAACAGAAGUUGGCCCAGUAAAAGACACCACACCAAGCGACUGAAGCGCUGAUCAAAGGGGC